rnacentral:sRNA from 1 species
AUAAAGAAAUCGAAAGACUUACCAAUUUAAAUGGAUUGAAAAGACGUUAUGCGCACCAAGUGCAUUCCAAAACCAAAGAAGUAACACCUUGGAAGCCUCUGUAUAAAAAAAUCGCAGGUAACAAUUAUGAGUUGGAAGAUAACCUGGAUUCAUAUGAAACUGAUAAUAGUUUGAAAAAAAGUGAAGAUGAAAUUAUCACCGAACAUCAAUAUUUAUCCCGAUGCAAUGACCAAAUCAAGCACGAAUUGUUGAAUGAUUCAACUAGUGAUUCUG